GGCGGUUCCUCUUGUUUCCUGUUUAAAGUUUACUUCCACUUUCCUCAGCCUGUUGUGUGUCUCAGCCUUUUCUCUCCGUAAGAAUCUCCAUCUGAAGGACCCAUCAGAGACCAGACCCUGCUGAACCUGAACCUGAACCUGAACCUGAACCCAGCUGUGUGUCCAUGAAGCCACCACUACUUUAAAAAAAAGAAGGCGACCUGUAAUCAAGAGGAGAAUUAAAAUGGACGAGAGGCAUAAAUAUGAGAGGGAGCAAAUGGAAAAUGAAAAGUUAAGAAGAAAGUUGGGGACCGUCAUGGGACCUGAACCUGAACCCAGCUGUGUGUCCAUGAAGAGUGACCAGUCAAUGGAGCCACCGCUAUUGUUCAGAGGAUCUUCAGUGUUUGAGACCGUCAUGGGACCUGAACCUGAACCCAGCUGUGUGUCCAUGAAGAGUGACCAGUCAAUGGAGCCACCGCUAUUGUUCAGAGGAUCUUCAGUGUUUGACAAUGCGCUGCAAGGCACCCUAAAGAAGAAGAAGAUCUUCUGUUUGUCACAGACUGACAGCCAGCGCAUCCAAUCAGCAACGAGGAAUCAUUGUCCAAUACGUACCUUCCUUUUCCGGUUUGGGUCUCACCAAAUGUCUUAUAUGUUUUGUGAAAUGUUUAAAGAUGAACUGAACUGGAAUUUGAGUAAAGGUGAUAUAACAGAUGUAUUUUAUUUCUUCUCAUUGGUACAAUGAUUAAAAUGGCUGGAUUUGUUAAAAGGGAUAAAAUGGUACAUUGAAAGUGUUGUUGUUGUUACACGGGCGCCGCCAUGUUGGAAUUCCACAAUCAGCUACGUCACUGGCAUGGUAAGCAGCCAUGGGAUGUAAACAGUCUGAGGCUAACGGACAUGGCUGAGGAAACGGAAACCAACAGGUCUAGGGGGGGUCAUACUGCAUUGCCCCUGGCUGCAGUAAUGAAUUGUAUAGGGCUAAGGCAGCUGGGGUUACGAUACAUUUCAGGCUACAGUACAGGGCAUCCCGAUAGACCAACGGCAAGUACUAACACCACCGAUGCUAUCCGCCGCAGAGACAGGGCGCUGAAACACUCACAUCAGGCAGAGGACAGAGAGGUAUGUUUAGAGGUUAUCCAGCAUGCUAGCAAUCUACUAGGCAAAGGGCUGGAUGUAACGUUGUUGUCACAUACACAAAACGCGUACAUAUUCACUUACACGCACAAAUACGGCCUGACGUGUAGGCUUUAUAACGUUCAACAAAACUGAGACUGACACACUGGGCAUUCAUUGAAAUUGAGUCACAAAACCAAGCUAGGUACCAAACGAUCCAACCUAGGGAAAGGGCUAGCAGCUAAACAUGUUGGAAGCACUUAUGUCAAACUCCACAAGCUAGCACUCCGACCAUAGACUGUAUAAAUAAACCAUGACUCCGAUGAUAUCACGUAUCAAUAAUAAUGCGUUACUAGCUGCUAACUAAACCACAGCGGGUCUGUAAACAGAAU
rnacentral:lncRNA from 1 species